rnacentral:lncRNA from 1 species
AAUAAACUCAGAGUGGCCAUCAGCCCUCUCCGCAUCUAUCCUGAUGUGUACAUUGGAUUGCGACACCAACAUAUGGUGACCCCCGACGUGAUCCAAGAUAGGUGGCAUUAUUGAGGAUGGUACAUCAGCUGCAGAAAGAUAUAUUGGUCAAACUCAGAACCAUAUGGCCCAACAAAGGCCGCAUUACACACAUCUGUUUUGACACAACAUCGUGGCAAACUGUGGAUUAAAACGUCCUUAUACGGAUAUCUGGGAGGGCCCUUUUAUGGUUAAAUGUGGGAAGAGAGGAGCUCUUUGUGUUUUGAAGAUAAAGGCGUUGAGUGCAUUCCAUCAAAACGCACACAGCCUGCUCUGGAAUAACUGGAAAAUGGACAAACGGGUCCACAGAAAGGAAGAAAAGAAGGAUAAUGAACAAAAGAGGGAGAAAGAGGAAAAGAAGAGGAGAGGGCAAGGUGAAGAGAGAAGAAAAAGUUAAGAAAUCGGAGAGAAGAAGAAUCAAGAUUUCAGUUGUGUGAAGGAGUGUGUUUCAAGAAAUCAGCAUGUUACAAUAAUGCUUGCCCACAAACUUGACCCCAGGAAUUCACAGUGAACAUGCAGGAGAAAUGUGUAAAUAUCUUUAAAUGUGACCUCCAGGUCCUAGAGGCCAAAUGACACUAUGCAAAGUUUAUCAACCUGGGGAACGUGAGCCAAGUGUCUCAUGAAAACAAAUAGUAAACGUAGAGUAUGUUCCAAAAUUGAGAUCAGACCAUACUGGAUAUUACUGACGAGGAAUCAAAUUGCCAUUAACUUUUAAAAUAAA